GCAUUCAUAGCUCAACUGGAUAGAGCAGCGGACUUCGAAUCCGAAGGUUGCAGGUUCGACUCCUGCUGAGUGCG
rnacentral:tRNA from 1 species